AGAGUUUGAUCAUGGCUCAGGAUGAACGCUGGCGGCGUGCCUAACACAUGCAAGUCGAACGGUUUCCCUUGGAUUCGUCUGAGGGGGAGAGUGGCGAACGGGUGAGUAACACGUAGGUGACCUACCCCAAAGAGGGGAAUAACCGCUGGAAACGGUGGCUAAUACCCCAUGUGCUCGAUGGUUCGUUCUGCCGAGUAAAGUCCUCGAAAGAGGUGCGCUUUGGGAGGGGCCUGCGGCCCAUCAGGUUGUUGGUAGGGUAAUGGCCUACCAAGCCGAUGACGGGUAGGGGGCGUGAGAGCGUGAUCCCCCACACUGGCACUGAGACACGGGCCAGACUCCUACGGGAGGCAGCAGUGAGGAAUAUUGCACAAUGGGCGCAAGCCUGAUGCAGCAACGCCGCGUGGGCGAUGAAGGCCUUCGGGUUGUAAAGCCCUUUUCUGGGGGACGAGGAAGGACGGUACCUCAGGAAUAAGUCACGGCUAACUACGUGCCAGCAGCCGCGGUAAUACGUAGGUGGCUAGCGUUAUCCGGAUUCACUGGGCGUAAAGCGCGUGCAGGCGGUUUCGUAAGUCGGACGUGAAAGCUCCUGGCUUAACUGGGAGAGGCCGUUCGAUACUGCGAGGCUUGAGGUCGGGAGAGGGACGUGGAAUUCCCGGUGUAGUGGUGGAAUGCGUAGAUAUCGGGAGGAACACCAGUGGCGAAGGCGGCGUCCUGGCCCGCACCUGACGCUAAGACGCGAAAGCGUGGGGAGCGAACGGGAUUAGAUACCCUAGUAGUCC
rnacentral:rRNA from 1 species